UGAACCAUGGCAAGAUUGAAUAGCUUUGGGUUUUGGAGUCUACUGCUUCUAGGACUAUUCAAUCUUUCAUGCUGGAUGGGGUUGCAGAGACCUGGUGGACCUCGAACAGCAGAAGUAGCAGUUGUGGAAUCAAAAUCAAAGCAUUUGACCUGGAUUUGAACAUAUCAAACAAAGAGAAGCUCACUCUUGUACGACGUUAUUGGUUCCAUGGUGAAACUGUUCCUACUGUUAGAAAGUUCUUCACUGCAUUCAGUUGCAAUCUACUUUCCUGUAAAUUAAAUCUGUUAUUCCAUGGCCUAUUUUCUAGGAUAAUAAAAAUCUAAACAAUU